rnacentral:rRNA from 1 species
GCAUAAUCUCUGAGGAGAAAAGCAGGGGAUCGCAAGACCUUGCGCUUUUGGAGCGGCCGAUGCCUGAUUAGCUUGUUGGUAAGGUAAAAGCUUACCAAGGCUUCGAUCAGUAGCUGGUCUGAGAGGACGGCCAGCCACACUGGGACUGAGACACGGCCCAGACUCCUACGGGAGGCAGCAGUGGGGAAUUUUGGACAAUGGGGGCAACCCUGAUCCAGCCAUGCCGCGUGAGUGAAGAAGGCCUUCGGGUUGUAAAGCUCUUUCAGCCGGAACGAAACGGUUACGGUUAAUACCCGUGACUAAUGACGGUACCGG